CAAAAAACAUUAUGAUACUUGCAAUAACCAGAAUUCGAACCCAGACUUUUAAAUUAGAAGCCAGAUAUGCUAGCAUCUUUACUAUCCAGAUUAACUUAAUGAAGAAAAGUGGAAGCUGGAGAGAGCAGACUUUUUAUAUAGUAGUAAGACAUUUCUUAGCAAGAAUCGUUCAUAGAAUGCUUGGCAUUUUACUGAUUCCUGCUAAGAAGCGUACCAGGCUCAGAGCAAGCAUCACCAAUCCUAAGAGAAAUUGCCCAUAUGAUGUGUUAUAACUCGUACUUCUUGUUCAGCAGAACAAAAAAACAAGA
rnacentral:lncRNA from 1 species